UCCAAAGCUAGCUCAGUUGGUAGAACAUGAAGCUCUUAACCUCAGGGCUGUGGGUUUGAGCCCCAUGUUGGAG